rnacentral:lncRNA from 1 species
CAAGACAUCUAGACCUAUCAAGAUCGUGGUGAUGCCAAAUACACAUGAAGAGUGAGAUGCCAAAGCAGAAAUGCACUUCACAGCAGGAUUACUUUGUUGUCUGCAGACCUUGUUAUAUCUCAGCUUCCUCCCAAACAGCACAGCUUAGCCUGUUUAUCGAGUUUUGUUUUCACUGCAAAACUUGUCAUGAGGAAGGUUAGACUCAGGGUGCGCUUGGCUUGUCUUAUCAGGGACAGUACAUUAAAAUACUUUGGUCAACUGGGAGUUCACCCUCCAAGCUUGAGGUCCAUGGGCAAACACUAUGGCUUUGAGAUUGGUAUGGGAGUAUUCCUUAAAGGACAGAUGAUGUGCACUAUUUUAAGGAUGUAAGAGCAAGUCCAAUGCAUCAAGAGUACUGUAUCCACGUCCUCAAAGGAGAAAAGUGCUUCAGGAGUCUGUUUUCAAAACAUAUCUGCCAGGUGUGUGCACUCGCUGUGCUCUGGUUUGCCUCACAGACCUGUCUCAAAGCAUGUGAAACAGGAUUCCCCAUGGAUGAAACUCAGCCAGGAGGACAUAAACCAGGACCAUACUUGAAACUUCCCACAGGCAAAUUUCCUCAUCGGACCACAAUAGAGCAUGGAGAGGUCUGGCUGUGCUGGGUCCCCAGAGACUUGCUGCCAGGAGCUCCCCAGCAAGGCGGGGCAGCACCUUUGGCACACCUUGCGAGGUUACGUUAGGCAUCCAGCAUUUGAUAUUACGUGCUUAAAAAUAAAAUAGCUGUUUCAUCAUGCA